rnacentral:tRNA from 1 species
GGCCGGUUAGCUCAGUCAGUAGAGCAUGGCGCUAACAACGCCAAGGUCACGGGUUUGAUUCCCGUUUGGUCG